AGGAAGAGUUCAGUGUCGAACAUG
rnacentral:siRNA from 1 species